rnacentral:rRNA from 1 species
UACGAAGGGGGCUAGCGUUGCUCGGAAUCACUGGGCGUAAAGCGCACGUAGGCGGCUUUCUAAGUCAGGGGUGAAAUCCUGGAGCUCAACUCCAGAACUGCCUUUGAUACUGGAGAGCUUGAGUCCGGGAGAGGUGAGUGGAACUCCGAGUGUAGAGGUGAAAUUCGUAGAUAUUCGGAAGAACACCAGUGGCGAAGGGCGGCUCACUGGCCCCGGUACUGACGCUGAUGUGCGAAAGCGUGGGGAGCAACAGGG